CCUGCCAUUAGUGUGAGUCCGUGUAUGAAUGUGAGGCAUCAUUGUAAAGGACUUUGUGUGUCUACAACAAAUAGAAAAGUGUUGUAUACAGUAAACACAUUCCAUUUUUAAUUUGUUGUUACUGUAUUUAUCAGAGUCAAUGUUUCUGCUUCCAAAAUCCAGCCAUCUUACAAGCAUAAAAUCCCUCAGCGAAGAAGCUUUGACCCUGGUGAUAGUUGUGGAUUGCCAUCGCAGUGUCUCUUAGGACAGUCCUAUGCAAUUCGGAGAAAGGUGCCAAAUAUCGGCAACCUAGACCUUCGGAGCAAUCUGAAAAAGAAGAACUUCACCAGAUUUGAGAAUAAGGGAAUGAAUCCCUCAGAGCCAAAGGAGUCUGGUAGCCUACACCCUGACCAGAUUACCCGCCUGCCUCGUUUCAACUUCAGACACUCUGGUCCAAAGAAGAGACUUUAGACUACGCAUCUUACCAUGCAUUUAGAAACUGUAAAAUUCUAUUCUAAUGUUUUGUAGUUAUUGUAAGCCAUUUGAUAGCAGUAACACCCAAAGUCAUCUGUACGUGGAUUUCUGUAAGUUUUAUUUGUACCACGUUUCCUUGCUGUGUCUCAGUAAAACCUGUGCUGUUAUGAUU